rnacentral:rRNA from 1 species
CUGGGCGUAAGGGAGCGUAGGCGGUUUGACAAGCCAGGGGUGAAAGGCAAUAGCUUAACUAUUGUAAGCCUUUGGAACUGUCGAACUUGAGUGCAGGAGAGGAAAGUGGAAUUCCUAGUGUAGCGGUGAAAUGCGUAGAUAUUAGGAGGAACACCAGUGGCGAAGGCGACUUUCUGGACUGUAACUGACGCUGAGGCUCGAAAGCGUGGGGAGCGAACAGGAUUAGAUACCCUGGUAGUCCACGCUGUAAACGAUGAAUACUAGGUGUCUGGUGUCGAAGCUAGGUGCCGCAGCUAACGCAUUAAGUAUUCCGCCUGGGGAGUACGCACGCAAGUGUGAAACUCAAAGGAAUUGACGGGGACCCGCACAAGCAGCGGAGCAUGUGGUUUAAUUCGAAGCAACGCGAAGAACCUUACCAGGUCUUGACAUCCUUCUGACCGACCCUUAGCCGGGUCUUUCCUUCGGGACAGAAGAGACAGGUGGUGCAUGGUUGUCGUCAGCUCGUGUCGUGAGAUGUUGGGUUAAGUCCCGCAACGAGCGCAACCCUUGCCUUUAGUUGCCAUCAAGUAAUGUUGGGCACUCUAGAGGGACUGCCGGUGACAAACCGGAGGAAGGUGGGGAUGACGUCAAAUCAUCAUGCCCCUUAUGAUCUGGGCUACACACGUGCUACAAUGGUCGGUACAACGGGCAGCGAAGUCGAGAGAUGGAGCGAAUCCUAAAAAGCCGAUCCCAGUUCGGAUUGUGGGCUGAAACUCGCCCACAUGAAGUUGGAGUUGCUAGUAAUCGCGGAUCAGAAUGCCGCGGUGAAUGCGUUCCCGGGUCUUGUACACACCGCCCGUCACACC